rnacentral:rRNA from 1 species
UGAGAGGAAGGUGUGCCGGGCUUAGUCCGAGUGGAAUAGGUAACUCGUCGAGUGGCCUCCCUCCUUUCUCGCAGCCACACCGUCGAGCAGCUGCCUCCGGUGCCAUCGAGGCACGUCCCUCCGUCUCCGGGCCGCUGCGGUACCUGCGCGGACGCUGCCCCCCGCUGCGGCACCCUCAGGAGGGGCUCCCGCAAGAGGGCAGCCGCUCACCCCCAGAGCGGGAGGUACCCUAGAGCGGCGCCAACCUCCACACCUGUCACAUCUGCGACGAGUGCCUCCGCUCGAGCACGGCCACCGACGGCGCUGCCGUACGAGCCUCUGGCGCCACCUCCUAGAGGAGGCCCGCCGACUGGGCCGUCCCCUACGGCACCGCCGCGCGAGUUCGCGAGUACGAACCCCGCCGAGGCCACUGCGAACUCCUCGACGUGUUAACGUCUCACGUCCGCCAG